UGACACUUCAGUUUUUAUUAUCUAUUUUUCGUGUAUCUAGUACUUAUGUGAUUCUUUUCAUUUAUUACUAGUUAAUCACUUCUCUUUGAGCGAUGGAAACAGUGGGUGAUUCUAGAUCAAGUUCAAAAGAGAAGAGAUCAUUUGAGGUACAGAAAUGAUGAAAGCCAAGAUUGAGAUUGAUACUGACAGGUUCCUAGUGAGUAUUUGACAUUGAGGAACAAGUUUUUGGAAACACAUAGAGAAUAUAGUCUUUGACCGAGAAGUUUCAUGUUUUGUAAUCAAAUGUUGAAGUACAUUGUUUGAAUGUUAGUUCGGUACGAUAUUUUCUGAGUUGAAAUGUUGGUAGUGUGGAUUUAAUACUUUGUAGUUUUUAUACUAUACUGAUGUAUGUUGGCACUUAUCAUUAUGGUUGAUUAUGCUCAA